GGGGAAAGAUUUAUCGCCUUUGGAUUGGCCCGCGUCAGAUUAGGUAGUUGGUGGGGUAAUGGCCUACCAAGCCGACGAUCUGUAGCUGGUCUGAGAGGACGACCAGCCACACUGGGACUGAGACACGGCCCAGACUCCUACGGGAGGCAGCAGUGGGGAAUCUUGGACAAUGGGCGCAAGCCUGAUCCAGCCAUGCCGCGUGGAUGAUGAAGGCCCUAGGGUUGUAAAAUCCUUUCGUUGGGGACGAUAAUGACGGUACCCAAAGAAGAAGCUCCGGCUAACUUCGUGCCAGCAGCCGCGGUAAUACGAAGGGGGCUAGCGUUGUUCGGAUUUACUGGGCGUAAAGCGCGUGUAGGCGGGCUGGAAA
rnacentral:rRNA from 1 species